UGGGGAAUAUUGCACAAUGGGCGCAAGCCUGAUGCAGCCAUGCCGCGUGUGUGAAGAAGGCCUCGGGUUGUAAAGCACUUUCAGCGAGGAGGAAGGUGGUGAGCUUAAUACGCUCAUCAAUUGACGUUACUCGCAGAAGAAGCACCGGCUAACUCCGUGCCAGCAGCCGCGGUAAUACGGAGGGUGCAAGCGUUAAUCGGAAUUACUGGGCGUAAAGCGCACGCAGGCGGUUUGUUAAGUCAGAUGUGAAAUCCCCGGGCUCAACCUGGGAACUGCAUUUGAAACUGGCAAGCUAGAGUCUCGUAGAGGGGGGUAGAAUUCCAGGUGUAGCGGUGAAUGCGUAGAGAUCUGGAGGAAUACCGGUGGCGAAGGCGGCCCCCUGGACGAAGACUGACGCUCAGGUGCGAAAGCGU
rnacentral:rRNA from 1 species